rnacentral:rRNA from 1 species
GAUGAACGCUAGCGGCAGGCUUAACACAUGCAAGUCGAGGGGUAGAGGCUUUCGGGCCUUGAGACCGGCGCACGGGUGCGUAACGCGUAUGCAAUCUGCCCUUCACAGAGGGAUAGCCCAGAGAAAUUUGGAUUAAUACCUCAUAGCAUAACACAACCGCAUGGUUGAGUUAUUAAAGUCACAACGGUGAAAGAUGAGCAUGCGUCCCAUUAGUUAGUUGGUAAGGUAACGGCUUACCAAGACUUCGAUGGGUAGGGGUCCUGAGAGGGAGAUCCCCCACACUGGUACUGAGACACGGACCAGACUCCUACGGGAGGCAGCAGUGAGGAAUAUUGGUCAAUGGGCGCAAGCCUGAACCAGCCAUGCCGCGUGCAGGAUGACGGUCCUAUGGAUUGUAAACUGCUUUUGUACGAGAAGAAACACUCCUUCGUGAAGGAGCUUGACGGUAUCGUAAGAAUAAGGAUCGGCUAACUCCGUGCCAGCCGCCGCGGUAA